rnacentral:rRNA from 1 species
GGUUUUUAGAAAUUAUUAAAAAUCAAACCUGCUCAAUGCUUAUGUAAAUAGCCGCAGUAUUUUGACUGUGCAAAGGUAGCAUAAUAAUUAGCCUUUUAAUUGAAGGCUGGAAUGAAAGGUUAAACUAAUUAAUUUUGUCUCAUAGUAAUAUUUUGAAAUUCAUAUUUUAGUAAAAAAGCUAAAAUAAUAUUUAAAGACAAGAAGACCCUAUCGAGCUUUACAAAAUUGAAUUUAUACUUCUUAGAGUAAAUUCCUUUUGUUUUACUGGGGCAGUAAAUAAAAAAUUUUUAUUUAUAUAUUGUGAGUUUUCAUUCUUGUAAAAUCAAAAAAUUUUUAAAUAAAAAUAAGUUACCGUAGGGAUAACAGCGUAAUUUUUUUUAAGAGAACAUAUCGUCAAAAAAGUUUGCGACCUCGAUGUUGGAUUAAGAUUCCUAUUUGGCGCAAAAGCAAAAUUAGGAGGUCUGUUCGACCUUUAAAUUCUUCCA